UGAGCAAAGAAACAUAGAAAGAGUUAUAGAGAGCAAACGUGAGAAAGAAAGAAGGAAAGAAAGAAAGAAAUAGAAAAGGGAAAUUUGAGGAUUAAGGCCCUAAAGUUUAAUUGUAGCAAACGUAGCACCGGAUACGUCAUCAAAGAAGGGAAAAGAGAAAGUGAACGAAGAUAUCGAUUAAAUUCGAUAAAUAGUGGCUAGGUACGAAAGUAUAAGGACUCAAAGAUACAAGCCGAUCCCCAAACUCAAAUUGGUGAAGUUUCUAUCUUUUUGGAAAA